rnacentral:lncRNA from 1 species
CAGGUCGCAAUAUGGAAGCCCACAUCCUGCAAUGUGCUGCAGUGUUGGCAAUUCUCCUCAUUGGUGUCGCAGACGCUCAGGGUGGUUUCCUGGAACGCCCUUGCAGUCCUCGCGAGGUGUACCUCCAGUGCGGUACUGCCUGCCCGCGCAUUUGUGGACGGCCAGCGCGCACUUUCUGCACGUACGAGUGCGUGAGCGGGUGCUUCUGCGCUCGUGGAUUCAUUCGGACGUCAUACGGAAACUGCAUCCCCGAGAGCCAGUGCUACUAUAGAGGAUGAACAGUAUUCAUCUAAAUAAAGCCAUAUUUUUGCGUAC